UGGAGUCCCUCUGAUGACACCAUGAAUAUGGGAAUGAAGAACUUCUUGGAGCUGAUUGGAAAUGGCAUUGCGGAGCUGAAACUUAACUGGAGGAAAUAUAUCUCCUGAAGAAGAAUAUAUAAUGCAUUGUAAGGAUCUGACUUCUGGUGAAAAAUUCAAGCCCAGAGAAAACUUGUCCGCUUUGUUAGGAAGAAUGGGUUGGACAAUUUUCUUCAAUUCCAAAGGAUAUCUGAAUGCCAUGCUGAGCUUAAUCUCUGCAGCAUGCUCUGUGCUUCUCAUCUCUUCCUGAUGCACUGCAUGGUUAUCCUGAAGGGAAGGAUAAAGAAACUGGCCACCAAGAUGGUAAUCACUAGUGGAAAUGAAGAAGAUAAAGGGAGUCAAGAAAAGGAAAGCAAAGAAGAAACCAUCUUGGCAAUGCUUGGAAUUAUUGGGACAAUUCUGAACCUCAUUGUGAUCAUUUUUGUGUAUAUUUACACAACGUUGUAAACUAGAAGGCAUGCAAGUAGACCAGAUAAAAUGGCCAUUAAGAGUGACGACAAACAUUGCUGACUAUUGACAAGUUGUUUAAUCAGAAUUGACUGUGUAUUAUAUUAACACAUCAUAAAAGCACUGCCUGCAGGCAGUGAAGGCUGAAGCACAAUUAAUUUAACAAGACUUUUUCACACAGUAACAAGCUUAACUCUUCUGUCCUGCCCUCUUCCUUUCGGUUUGGGGGAAAAUGACUGCAAUUAUGUAAGUUGUAGCUUUGAAGAAAUCCACGAGGGAUAUGGUGUUUUAACACAAUUAAAAAAAGAAAGAAAGAAAGAAA